rnacentral:rRNA from 1 species
GCACGGGUGAGUAACACGUAGGUAUCUACCUUUGGCAUGGGGAAUAACAACCGGAAACGGUGUGCUAAUACCGCAUAAUGCAGCGGGCACCUAUAUGGUGACAGUUGUUAAAGCGGGGGAUCGAAAGACCUCGCGUCUAAAGAGGAGCCUGCGGCGGAUUAGCUAGUUGGUAAGGUAAUGGCUUACCAAGGCCACGAUCCGUAACCGGCCUGAGAGGGCGGUCGGUCACACUGACACUGACAUACGGGUCAGACUCCUACGGGAGGCAGCAGUCGGGAAUUUUGGGCAAUGGGCGAAAGCCUGACCCAGCAACGCCGCGUGAAGGAUGAAAUCCCUCGGGAUGUAAACUUCGCAAGAACGGGAAGAAUAAGUAGGGGACAAUACCCCCUAUGAUGACGGUACCGUUUGUAAGCUCCGGCUAACUCCGUGCCAGCAGCCGCGGUAAUACGGGGGGAGCAAGCGUUGUUCCGGAUUUACUGGGCGUAAAGGACGCGUAGGCGGUCAAGCA